rnacentral:rRNA from 1 species
UACGUAGGGGGCAAGCGUUGUCCGGAAUCAUUGGGCGUAAAGAGCGUGUAGGCGGCCUGGUAAGUCCGCUGUGAAAGUCCAGGGCUCAACCCUGGAAUGCCGGUGGAUACUGUCGGGCUAGAGUCCGGAAGGGGCGAGUGGAAUUCCUGGUGUAGCGGUGAAAUGCGCAGAUAUCAGGAGGAACACCAAUGGCGAAGGCAGCUCGCUGGGACGUGACUGACGCUGAGACGCGAAAGCGUGGGGAGCAAACAGG